AACCUCUGGCAAUGUGCAUAAACACCUUAGUGUUGGUGUUAUUCCUAUAGCAGUCAGAGGUAGAACAGAUGGCAGUCCUUUGUUCAUCCUAGCUUGAUGCCUGGCACUGUGGCCAAAGCUGUCUUAUGCCUAGGAGACAUGA